GGCUUGGUAGCUCAGCUGGUAAGAGCAUUGCUUCGGCAUCGUAAGGUCCUGGGUUCGAAUCCCGUUCGAGGUUUCCG
rnacentral:tRNA from 1 species